UGCCGGGUAGUGCAGUGGUAGCACGGCUGUCUCUGGAACAGUAGGUCGAAGGUUCGAAUCCUUCCUCGGCAG
rnacentral:tRNA from 1 species